rnacentral:rRNA from 1 species
AGCGAAGCGGGAAAAGCUCAAAUUUGUAAUCUGGCGUCUACGACGUCCGAGUUGUAAUCUCGAGAAGUGUUUUCCGUGAUAGACCGCAUACAAGUCUCUUGGAACAGAGCGUCAUAGUGGUGAGAACCCAGUACACGAUGCGGAUGCCUAUUACUUUGUGAUACACUUUCGAAGAGUCGAGUUGUUUGGGAAUGCAGCUCAAAUUGGGUGGUAAAUUCCAUCUAAAGCUAAAUAUUGGCGAGAGACCGAUAGCGAACAAGUACCGUGAGGGAAAGAUGAAAAGCACUUUGGAAAGAGAGUUAACAGUACGUGAAAUUGUUGGAAGGGAAACACAUGCAGCCAGACUUGCUAUUCGGGGCAACUCGAUUGGCAGGCCCGCAUCAGUUUUUCGGGGCGGAAAAUCAUAGAGAGAAGGUAGCAAUUUCGGUUGUGUUAUAGCUCUUUAUUGGAUUCGCCCUGGGGGACUGAGGAACGCAGCGUGCUUUUAGCAUAAGCUUCGGCUUAUCCACGCUUAGGAUGCGGGUGUAAUGGCUGUAUAUGACCCGUCUU